GAUGAACGCUGGCGGCGUGCCUAAUACAUGCAAGUCGAGCGAACGGACGAGAAGCUUGCUUCUCUGAUGUUAGCGGCGGACGGGUGAGUAACACGUGGAUAACCUACCUAUAAGACUGGGAUAACUUCGGGAAACCGGAGCUAAUACCGGAUAAUAUUUUGAACCGCAUGGUUCAAAAGUGAAAGACGGUCUUGCUGUCACGUAUAGAUGGAUCCGCGCUGCAUUAGCUAGUUGGUAAGGUAACGGCUUACCAAGGCAACGAUGCAUAGCCGACCUGAGAGGGUGAUCGGCCACACUGGAACUGGGACACGGUCCAGACUCCUACGGGAGGCAGCAGUAGGGAAUCUUCCGCAAUGGGCGAAAGCCUGACGGAGCAACGCCGCGUGAGUGAUGAAGGUCUUCGGAUCGUAAAACUCUGUUAUUAGGGAAGAACAUAUGUGUAAGUAACUGUGCACAUCUUGACGGUACCUAAUCAGAAAGCCACGGCUAACUACGUG
rnacentral:rRNA from 1 species